rnacentral:piRNA from 1 species
UGACUUUUAAAGGUCAGCCAUAUGACUAUC